GAAGAAGAAGAAGAGAGCAGCUGCUCCAUGGAGACAAGAGACGCCGACGCGUCGCUAUGCACACAGCAGGCUGUAAGCGACCAGAGGUUAGCAACAUUAUGAGACCUUUUACUGAUGUGAACUUGUACUAAAACGUGUAGGCUCUGAGGGACUGAACUAUGACGCACUUUGCUUCAGAGUGCAUCGUAUGUAACUUCAGUUAGCAUAGCUAGCUAACACUGCUGUCUCCACCGCGGGGUGAAGCAGCCCAAGCAUGGGUGAGCUACUGUUACAAUAACGUGUAAACAUGUAGGUUAACAUUGUACUGUAUAUUGAUAGUUGGCCAGACAACGUUUAAGAGAUGUGGAAACGAGGCGGUCGCAGCUCGGCUCUGGACCGAGCUCAGGCUCUGCUGUCCGCCAAGAGGAGCAGUGGAGGAGAGGCUGAGUCUGUGCGGGGAAAGACAGCACACACUGUUGCUGUUGUUGGGUCUCUGAAAACCAAAUCUUCCCCAAAUCCACACCCUUUAUUGUCAGAUCUGAGUGACCUGUCCUCGGGCAGCUCAGUUCCUCAGCAUGGAGCUGACACCCUGGGCUCUGCUGCUGGGAACAACCAAGAAAGAGAGGGGCCUUCUGCCAAGGAUCUCAGACCUCCGAGCUCUCUGGAUGGAGGAGGGAGCAGGUUCUUGAAGAAGGCUCCACCACCUGCCACCAACCGCAGCCAGUCACCUGUCAGCAAGAGCCAAAUGCAGCCGGUGCCUGAACACAGAAAUGUGUCAUCUUCCCAGCGAGGCUCCCAGACUGCUGCUUUGAGUAGACUGGCUCAAAUUGAGAGCCGCAUCCGCAGCCGCAAGCAGGUUCAGGAACAGGCCAGACAGGAGCAGAGACCUGCUGGGAAUCUAACCUCAGACGUGGGAAUCUCACCACCACCGCCACCACCAGCCGCCCAGUCCCUGGAGGCCUCCAGUGGUGACCAGAACCUGAAGGGGAGAAGUUUCCUCAAAAGCAAGACUGCUCUAGCUGUUAACAGUAGUGAUGCUGCUGCUGCUGCUGCUGCUGCUGCUAGGUCUCCAAAAAGUGCAGAUGUUGGUGCCAGGUCCAGGUCCAGAGCUGCUGAUGCUGUAGUUCCUUCGUCAGUGAGAGUAGUGAGUGGGGUGAGCCUGGAAAGUGAUGAAGAGGACAUGAGGAAACUGCUUGGAGACUCGUUGGAUUCAACAGACAACAGCUUCCUAAUGCCAAGGAGACCCUCUUCCAUAAGAACAGCAGACAAGAUGUUGAGCAAAAGCAGUCAGAAGGUCCACGCCUCACCUCCUCCUGCCGCUGUCCCUCCCUCAUCAUCCUCCAACGCAGCGCCACCCCGCUCCCCUGCCUCUCCUUCUCGCCACAGUUCUCCUUUUCGAUUCACCGGCCAGGCUCAGGCCCACUUCAGCCCCUCUGUGCUCUCCCCUUCCCCCUCUCCUCCCCGUGUCUCCCCAUCUCCUCCGGGGAGACUGAACUCCCCUCGUAGGGUGGAGAGUCCACAGCAUUCCCUCUCCUCCAUGUCAGGCCUGGGUGAGGUGCAUUCUCUGGAGGAGCUCUUCUCUGUCGGGCCUGGCUCUGAAGAUCCCCACAGUGAGAUGAGUGCAGUUACCUCUGAAGAUGAACGACAAGACUUCAAGAUAAAUGUGAUGACAUUAGACGACCUGGUCCCUGCUACCCUUGGAUUUACUGAGGAAGUACCAGGAAAGGAGAGAGAAGUCAAACACAGCGCCCCUCUUCCUGGAUCCCCUAACAGACAUCAACAGCGGCCACGAUUGAAGGAGAAGAAAGAGCAGCAGCAGCAGCAGGAGGAUGAUGCAGUGGAUUACCAAAGUGACUUUGAGAGUGAGAGCAGGACAGAUUACAGUGUCAGCCAGGUUUCAGAGCACCUCCAAGGAGCUGGAGAUGAAGAGGAGGUUGUGUCGGAGGUCAGAGAGGAGGCUUCAGAUUCAGACAUGUCCCGUGGGAGGACAGAAGAUGAUUACUCGAGCACUUUCUCAGACUCGUACACCUCACAGACCUCAGAUUGCUCCAGAUCUUCUGUAUCACAUGGUAGCCGGACCUCAUCUCGCCAGUCGCGGAGGCGGGCUUCAACUAGAAAGGUUUUCAAAGAGGCAGCAGUACAGACUCAGACUGAUCCACUGGCUUACACAUGGCCCACCGGUAUUUUGGGUCGUGCAGCGGGCAUGGCUUACAUGGAUCCCACCCCAGCGGUUGCUCAUACUCUCAGUGCGGAAAUGGUGGAAGCUCUCAGCACCUUCAACCCAGCUGUAUUUGCACUCAAUGAAAUGCUAAAACAGCAACUUGCCAUGACGAGGCGGUUCAUCGAAAGCAGCCGAUAUCUUCACUCCAGCUUGGUGCAGAGCCUGGGACCACCGAACUACAGAUACACCACGCUGGAGGACACCAAGGAGUACAUUCGCAGACACAGACCUCCCACACUGACAAUGGAGGAAGCCUUAGAAGAGGUGCUGCAGGAGAUGAGCGACUACCAUCAUAUCUGACCACAGGUACUGAAUGUCCUGGAUUACUGAACAACAGACGUUUGCCAUGUCCAUCUUGUUAAAGCCGGGCCGGCUGUGUGUUACUUUUAGUGCAUGCUAAGUCCUAGACACACCAAACAGACAUCAAAGAACUAGCGGCGACGAUGCCGACAAUUGCAUCUCCUCGUGUCGUCUGUGUCUUGGCCAAAAAGUUGCACUCAAACACACUGCGUCGACUACAGCCAACGGCCGACUAGUAUGUACUGUAUGUCUUGCGCCUGCGUGAGAUGAAAUAACUCUCAAUACUGGCAGGUAACACUAGUCUGUAUUCAUCAUUGAAAAAAAGGGAAGCUGGAAGACCAAGGACUGCGGAUAUACAAACCAUUGUUGUGAUACGCACAUGAAAUAAAGCAGCAUCUGCCGACCAUUUUCACACCACUAAGCUUCAUUCCAGAUGGCCAUGUUGUCGUGAAAAUAUCUGUGUAUUGGAAUGAUCAGAUGAGAUGAAGAUGACAAAUGAAAAGAGCUUUCGGUGUCUGCCCUUUUGACUUUACUCGUUGGCUUGCUUUCCUCACUUCCGUUUCUCUUCUCGUGCACUGAUUUGUUUAAGCUGAACAGCCAAUCAGAGCGAUUUCUCUCACUGAUGGGCUUCGCCGCCAAUUGAACAUGCUGGAUUGACCAAAAACCAUCUGACACGGGCAGACUAGAGCCGAUGGUGCGGGACGCGCCGCAAAAACUAGGGUGACAGGCGCUCACCUACGCCCCCAAACUGACCGACGGCCGACCAUCAGCUUGGUGUGUCUGGGCCUUUCGUGCAUGUGAGCGUGCCUCACUGGCGAGCUCAUGGCUGCAACUCUGCACUGCCCUCAUACGGCGGUUACAGCUGAUGACGCCAUCAUGACCGACGUCAUCAUCGCGGAAGUGUAGCGCCCACCCUCUGGUUAACAAUGUUGGCUCUGUCAGCAGUACUGUUGCUGUUGUUUGCACCAUUAGCUGUGAGCCACUGGCUCAGCCAACGCCAUGUUGAGUGCCGUGGGGAGGCGGUAGAUAUGCUCUGAAUUCUGUAUAGAGAACCUUUGAAAUAAGUUUUAUACAUAAUUAUUAAAGAAUAUUUUUUUUUACUAUGGGAAGAAUUACAGUAUUUGUUGUUAAUCCGUCACAGAACAUGCCAUGAAGAUUUGAAUGCUUUUGUAAAAGUGCAAUCAUGUCAUACAUUCAGUUUUCAAUUUGUGUCAAAGUUAAAAUCAUGUUUGAAAUGGAUUAUUUUGUAAAUUCAUCAUGUGAUUUGAAUGAAAUGAAAUGAUCAUCCCUGCUGGUGAAAUAGUGUAAAGCAUCAAUGCUGUCACUUGUGCAUUCAGAAGAAAUAAUGAUAAACAGUGUUAUAUGUCAUUCUGUUUUAAUACACUGAUUAAAAUAAAUCCCAAAAGAGGAAAUUUAGUGUGUUAACAGUUACACAUAAAGGG